rnacentral:rRNA from 1 species
GCGCCGGUGUGAAAGCUGGCGUCUACCGAACCCGUGUCUAUAUACUCUUGUUGCUUUGGCAGGCCGUGGGAAACCACUGUGGGCUCCGGCCUGCAAGUGCCUGCCAGAGGAUUAAACUCUGAAUGUUAGUGAUGUCUGAGUACUAUAUAAUAGUUAAAACUUUCAACAACGGAUCUCUUGGUUCUGGCAUCGAUGAAGAACGCAGCGAAAUGCGAUAAGUAAUGUGAAUUGCAGAAUUCAGUGAAUCAUCGAAUCUUUGAACGCACAUUGCGCCCUGUGGUAUUCCGCAGGGCAUGCCUGUUCGAGCGUCAUUAUAACCACUCAAGCCUGGCUUGGUAUUGGGACACGCCGUCACCGGCGGUCUCUAAAAUCAGUGGCGGUGCCCGUAGGCUCUGAGCGUAGUAAAACUUCUCGCUAUAGAGUCCUGCGGGUUCCCUGCCAGAACCCCCAUAUUUUUCAGGUUGACCUCGGAUCAGGUAG